rnacentral:rRNA from 1 species
CUGCGCGGAAGAUGUAACGGGGCUAAACCAUGCACCGAAGCUGCGGCAGCGACGCUUAUGCGUUGUUGGGUAGGGGAGCGUUCUGUAAGCCUGUGAAGGUGUACUGUGAGGUAUGCUGGAGGUAUCAGAAGUGCGAAUGCUGACAUAAGUAACGAUAAAGCGGGUGAAAAGCCCGCUCGCCGGAAGACCAAGGGUUCCUGUCCAACGUUAAUCGGGGCAGGGUGAGUCGACCCCUAAGGCGAGGCCGAAAGGCGUAGUCAAUGGGAAACAGGUUAAUAUUCCUGUACUUGGUGUUACUGCGAAGGGGGGACGGAGAAGGCUAUGUUGGCCGGGCGACGGUUGUCCCGGUUUAAGCGUGUAGGCUGGUUUUCCAGGCAAAUCCGGAAAAUCAAGGCUGAGGCGUGAUGACGAGGCACUACGGUGCUGAAGCAACAAAUGCCCUGCUUCCAGGAAAAGCCUCUAAGCAUCAGGUAACAUCAAAUCGUACCCCAAACCG